UUUUUACUUAUAAAAGGAUAAAAACAUUUUGUUUAUUACAUUCAUAGGAAGAAAAAUAAAAAUAAGGCUCAAGUUAUCAUGUUUGUUUAUGAUUUGAUCCUUUUUAUUUCUCUAAUUCUUGUUGUAACCGGCAUAAAUGCAGAAGCUGAUACUUCAUGUCAUUCUUUCGAUGAUUGUCCGUGGGUUGCACAUCAUUAUCGCGAGUGCAUCGAAGGUUUAUGUGCAUACCGGAUAUUGUAUUAGUUAAUUUUGAAAAGAAGAAUGUUAGUGUCACUCACUUUUGAAUACUUUCUUAAUGUACUAACACUUUAUAUUGGUUCUAUUUUCAAAGUGUAGACUCAUAAUAAUUUAACCGAGUGAAUAUUAAAAAGAAUAUUCAAAAAAGAGAGUGUUGCUAAUACUAUUCGAAAAGAAAAUAAAGGUCAAAUAUGUUUUUGUUUCUAUAAAAUGGAGACUUUCUAAGUUUAAUCUUUAAUAUUAAUAGUUUUCUCAA